GUUGCCUUGCAUGGCUGCCUUGAGGAGGGCAGUAAAACCUCGGUUGUCCCUGAGCUCCAUGUCCACUCCAGAGAAGUAAUUAAGGAUGUAGAACUUUGGAUAGGGCUGCAGCAUUGUUCUUGGCACAGGCUUGGUACAAGGUGUUGGCAGGGCCUCCGCUAUCCUCUUCCCGCUUAUAGUCAGGAAGCACAGAGUCAUCUGACAGCACACUCCCAGAGUCUGAAUCAUUGUCAGAAAUUGACAACUCAGAGGCAUCCUCAUCUGGACCUGAGCCCAGGUGCCAGAUAGAUGCUUGGACCCAUGGCAGUACCCACCAUUGAAGUCCCUGAGUUCUGGACCUCUUUCAUUUUCUGACGCUUGUGUUGGCUCGGGCCUCAGUGGUUGUUUGGCUUCUUGUGGUGCAGCACAGAUCAAUUGUCAUGUGACAUGACAUCACCGCAAGAGCGAUAGAUGUC